UCUAGAUUUCAGAUGUUUGGAAAACGGACUAUUUUCAUGUAAAUAAUUGUCUACUUCGGAUCGAGCUUCGGAUACUCCUACGGCAGAUUGCUUCCGGUGAAGUUUGCUGGAAAAAUCUGGUGAAAAGAGGAAAAUGAUAUCCGGAAGAAUGAAUCAACCAAUGCCUAAUGCAUACGCCUCCCCAAGGGAAGAGUCGCGUCGAGACUGUAUUUUGCGUCCCAGAAAGUUGAACAGCGGAACUACCAGGCGACAUACAGCUGCAAGAUCAACCCAUCCUAUAUUUGAAUCAUCCGCCUCUACAUCAUAUUUCAUCACUGACACACGUUUAUCCGAGAAUCGAUCCGAGAACUAGAACCAUACGAUCACUAGCCGGUCAGCAGUGGUAUGAGCUUGGACUUCACCAACUACCCACCGGAUCUUCCUCUUCCUCUUCCAAUGUUCCACACAGUGGAACCGGUCCUACCUGCAGCAGAAAUAAAAAAUCUGUGAUCCUCGAUCUAUUAUAUCCUGGAGCUGAUGAGAGAAGCGCCAAAAAGCAAAACUUUCCAAAUAGAAAGGUCCAUGCGAUUCUUGCUUUUGAAUUAGCCGAUGAAUUAGCCAUGGAAUUAGAUCUUCGUCGCUCAUGCCACAUCGGAUUUUCAACUAGCAGACAAGUUCGGCGACGCGUAAUUCUCAUCUCCUCCGGC